UACUACGCUAGCAGUCGAUAAAAAUUUAAUGAGAACCAGUUAAUUUGUUCUACCUUCUGGUUCCCGAUGCACGAGAGCCAAAGUACUUGCAUACAUUUGGUGCCAAUUUUAUCAAGUCAUAAAAUUAACUAACUAUCAUAGAACACAAUAAUUCAGGAAAAAUGGAAUACGAUUUUCAUAUUAGAUAACUUUCAAGCUUAAAAUGGUUAAAAAGUGUGAAUGACAGAGUAAAAAUUUGUAUGCGUAUGAAUACGAACUAUAUUCCCUCUGACGUCAUUUUCCCGAAAUCGCCAUCUUGGUCAGUUAUUCCGAGAAAAGGCUGAGAAGAUUUGCUAUCAAUUACGAAGUCCCAGCUAUUACGUUGAUAUUUUGGUUGCAAUCUAUUCCAUCUUGGUGUAUUGUCUUCAUACUUGGCCACAACAACCCUUCAAAUAGACCAGACUAAACUUGACCUCCAUAUAAACAUUCAAGAUGGUUGGCCUACAUGUCAGAUUUGUGAAUGUGAACGGCAGGAUAUCGAGUUUAAGGAUGCUUUAGGGUCAAUGAGAAUGAAAUCAAGAGAGAUAAAGGCUAAAAAUGUGAGACUGUCAAUCUGACAAACCUUG